AGCAAAUCAGAAAAGGGUUGAAGGACACUGGAAUUUGGCCACUACUUGCCUGUCGACCAGAUGUUGCUCCCCUGUUGUUCCCCAGAGAGUCUGUUGUGAAACUCACCUCCCAAAUGGUCCUAGAGUCCAUCACAUGGCCCCCAUCAAAACAAACAGACAUUGACGACAGUGAUGAUGAAAUCUCAGAUGGCAAAGUCAGCCUCAUCUCUGGAUUUCUUCGAACCUUCGUUGAAGAGGCAUCCCCAGACAUUUUGCGGCAGCUUUUGAAGUUCUGGGUCGGUUGGGAGGUGCCAUCCAAUACCCUCAAGCUAGAAAUUGUCAACUCACGUGGUCGUAACCACCUACCAACUUCAAGCACCUGCUAUGAGCAUUUAUGCAUAUCAAACCACUACACCAGGUACUCCACUCUAAAAGCGGAUCUAAUGAUAUGUCUUCAGUCUGUUGAGAGUAGGUUUGGCCUGGUGUAAUAAGGUGAAAAACAUUUUACAGAAACAAGGGCACUGUCCCGC